CGAACGCUGGCGGCAGGCUAACACAUGCAAGUCGAGCGCCCGCAAGGGGAGCGGCAGACGGGUGAGUAACGCGUGGGAACGUACCUUUGCUACGGAAUAACUCAGGGAAACUUGUGCUAAUACCGUAUGUGCCCUUCGGGGGAAAGAUUUAUCGGCAAAGGAUCGGCCCGCGUUGGAUUAGCUAGUUGGUGAGGUAAAGGCUCCCCAAGGCGACGAUCCAUAGCUGGUCUGAGAGGAUGAUCAGCCACACUGGGACUGAGACACGGCCCAGACUCCUACGGGAGGCAGCAGUGGGGAAUAUUGGACAAUGGGCGCAAGCCUGACCAGCCAUGCCGCGUGAGUGAUGAAGGCCCUAGGGUUGUAAAGCUCUUACACCGGUGAAGAUAAUGACGGUAACCGGAGAAGAAGCCGCA
rnacentral:rRNA from 2 species